GACGAACGCUGGCGGCGUGCCUAACACAUGCAAGUCGAACGGGACCGGGGGCAACUUCGGUUCAGUGGCGGACGGGUGCGUAACACGUGAGGAACAUGACCUUCGGCGGGGGAUAGCCGGCCCAACGGCCGGGUAAUACCGCGUACGACCUUUCGGGGACAUCCCUGGAUGGUGAAAGCAGCAAUGCGCCGAUGGAGUGCCUCGCGGCCUAUCAGCUAGUUGGUGGGGUAACGGCCUACCAAGGCGACGACGGGUAGCUGGUCUGAGAGGAUGGCCAGCCACAUUGGGACUGAGACACGGCCCAGACUCCUACGGGAGGCAGCAGUGGGGAAUAUUGCGCAAUGGACGAAAGUCUGACGCAGCGACGCCGCGUGUGGGAUGAAGGUCUUCGGAUUGUAAACCACUGUCGGGAGGGACGAAUACGCCGCAAGGCGGGUGACGGUACCUCCAAAGGAAGCACCGGCUAACUCCGUGCCAGCCGCCGCCGUAACAC
rnacentral:rRNA from 1 species